UGCGCUGCUGAGAAGGGGACUUCUGUUUGUGUGUGUCUCAGAGAGGGGGGCUGUUUUAAGUUCAGUUAUUUUACCAUACGGACAUCGUACAUCCAGAUGAACUGCGGCUGAUUUCUGGUCCUCUGUUAUGUCCAACGUACCGAUUCCUCACACUUACAACGGAAGGUGCAUCAUGACCUCUCUCUGGGUCAUUGGCCUGUUUCUGAUUGGCGACUGCAUUUCCACGUCCAGUCCGUUGAAGGCUAAAGAGGGCUCCUGUGUGAAGAUCUUGAUUGACAUGAAGAUUCCGAUGCUGGGUGGAAAUGUUGUCUGGUUGAAGAACGCAACAUGGAAUUCAACUUCAAACGAUUUUGAGGGCACUGUUGUGUACAGCCUCAAAGCUGACAAACCUGCUGCGAAGGAAUUUGAAAACCGAGUAUCCGUGGGCACCAGUCCGGAUCGUACGACCUCCCAAUUGACCAUCAGUAAUUUGAGACUGGAGGACAAUGGAACAUACAUGGCUAGAUAUUAUACAAAUGAUCAACAAUGGGGCAACAGAAACAUGAGUCUUGAGGUUGAGAGUAAGUUCCUCUGAAUUGAUGUAUAUAAGGGAAGCCCCUUCACGCUUACCAUUCAGUCGUUAUUCUGAUGAAUAACGGCCUGUAGCGUAGUGGUUAAGGUACAUGACUGGGAAACGCAAGGUCGGUGGUUCUAAUCCAGGUGUAGCCACAAUAAGAUCCGCACAGCUGUUGGGCCCUUGAGCAAGGCCCUUAGCCCUGCAUUGCUCCAGGGGAGGAUUGUCUCCUGCUUAGUCUAAUCAACUGUACGUUGCUCUGGAUAAGAGCAUCUGCCAAAUGCCAAUAAUGCAAU